rnacentral:lncRNA from 1 species
UGGCAUUGCACUUCAAGAUGCUGGGUAACGUUAACGAAUCGUGGCAGAUCAUGUCCAUUUGUUGCUCAAAAAAUUGUCUUUCGUCGCGGUACACGGGGAAUUCUAGUAA